AAGGCCAGCUCUCUCGUUGGUGUAAGGACAAGAGCAAAUAACCGCUGAGGUGCAUCCAGCAGUGCUUGAAGAAUUGGCAAAGCAAACGCUCCUGUUUUCCCAGAGCCAGUUUCUGCCAGUCCAAUGAUAUCUCUGCCCUGAAGAGCCACAGGAAUAGCUUCCACUUGAAUCUUUGUUGGUACCUUCCAUCCCAGCUGGUCACAGGCUUCACACAGGACAUCCGUCACUCCCAAGUCCUUGAAGCUCCGCGCCUCUUCCACCACCGGCACCUCCUCAGCUUCCAGCCCGGCCGCCUUCCCCGGCUCCCCUCCCGCCGCCAUGUUGGAC
rnacentral:lncRNA from 1 species